rnacentral:rRNA from 1 species
GCCGCGANUAGCUCAUUACANUAGCCGUUGUUUCUUGGAUCCUCAAUUUACUUGGAUACCUGUGGUAAUUCUAGAGCUAAUACAUGCGACUAAGGGCCGAACUCACGUGACGCUUGCAUUUAUUAGAUCAAGACUAACCGGCUUCGGCCGUUAACUUGGUGACUCUGAAUAACUCAGCUGAUCGCACGGUCUAGUGCCGGCGACAUAUCUUUCAAGUGUCUACCUUAUCAACUGUCGAUGGUAGUUUAUGUGACUACCAUGGUUGUAACGGGUAACGGAGAAUCAGGGUUUGACUCCGGAGAGGGAGCCUGAGAAACGGCUACCACUUCUAAGGAAGGCAGCAGGCGCGCAAAUUACACAAUCUCAGCACGAGGAUGUAGUGACGAAACAUACCGAGGCGAUGCCCUUUCGGGUGUCGUCAUUGGAAUGAGUCGAAUCUAAAAAAUUCGGCAAGGAUCUAGUGGAGGGCAAGUCUGGUGCCAGCAGCCGCGGUAAUUCCAGCUCCGCAAGUGUAUAUCUAUGCUGUUGCGGUUAAAAAGCUCGUAGUUUGAUUCGCGUACUUAGCACGCAGUGUGGCCUUUCGGCUACUACUGUGAUGCGGUACAUUAUCGUCAGUUUGUCGUUGAUGCUCUUCAUUGGGUGUCAGCGGCGGCUGUCAAGUUUACUUUGAACAAAUUAAAGUGCUCAAUACAGGCGUUUCGCUUGUAUAGUUCUGCAUGGAAUAAUAGAAUAGGACUUACGUUCUAUUGUGUUGGUUUUCAGAACGAAAGUAAUGAUUAAGAGGGACAGACGGGGUCAUUCGUACUGCCACGUUAGAGGUGAAAUUCUUGGAUCGUGGCAAGACGAACUACUGCGAAAGCAUUUGACAAGAAUGUUUUCAUUAAUCAAGAACGAA